GCGUAGCUUGAAUUUCUUUCAUUUCUUCUCGAAUCUGGAGAUUCCCCACCUCGUUGGGUGGGAAAAAGAUUCAUCUGAAUGGUAUUUGCAAAAGCUUGACGGCACUCACAUUUUCCAUAUUCUUCUUUACCUUUCAAUGAAAUAUAUUUAAAACAGGGGACGCUAGUUUGCAAUUAUAUGUUCUUGUACUUACCUUACACUUUUUUGUUGUAAAGCAUAUAAGGUGCCAAGCUAUUUUAAAGAGAGUUUUUAAUAAUAUAUAUGACUUUUGAACCUGUUUAAAGUUGUUUUAAAGUCAUUUUUUGUGAUUAAGACUUUAUGCUCAUUCUAGUUGAGGUUUGGAAGGACAUUGCAGAAUCCUUCAUCUUUCUUACGGCAAGUAGGUAGAAGUCAUUUAGUACUUGACCGCUUGAGCCCCUAGUCCUCAGCUAAGCCACUAAGAAUGUAAAGUCUAGCAUGUUAAUGAAGUCUAAUGACUUUCCAGUCAGUUCUUGUCUCUUUUGAUAUGACAAAGAAAAUGCUACUUUAUGCCUGACAAACAAGUUUACCCUGAAUCAAGGAUCAAGGGCGCACGUUAACCAUUGGUCUCGGCGCACAAUAGCAAGGAAUGCGAUUGUGACCGGAAAACGAUGGCUCGUCGCCGGAAAACUGUGCAGGACACCAAUUUGCAGUCGGGGAAGCUAAUCACUCCAGCAAAUGACAUACAAAAGGAACUACCACCACUCACAUUUGGGAGUUUUCUACCGCAGAAAUACCAAUCUAUUGAGGAAGUUCAUGAAACUAGCUUUCUGAAGGUGAUGUGCAACUUCAAUCUGUCAAAGCGGAAGGAACAACACUACAGGCAGCUCAGCGAUUAUAGUACUCUGAAGCGGGUGGGUCGGGGAAACCAACUCCUACAGCAGCUGACAUUGUAUGAGGGAAUCGCUGCUCACAAAUGGGUAAACCCUUGUCUUUUGUUCCUCCAACUGAUAGUGAUGGUAAACGAAUUGUCAAAUUGAGCAAGGAAGAUUUACAAUCCCAGGCAGAUUAUUGGAAAACCUUGCUAAUUGGGUACAUAAUAGGAGAGAAUCCUUAUGAAAAAGCUAUGGAGAGUUUUGCCGUGAACGUGUGGAAUUUUGUCACUAAACCUCAUAUCUGAAUUCACUCCGAGGGAUAUUGUAUUUUCAAAUUUCACACCAUAGCCGAUAUGGAUCAAGUACUACAGCCAGGGCCAUAUACCUUUAGAAACAAACUAAUGGUGCUGAGGCUAUGGGAAAUUGACUUCUCAUUCAAUAGAGACAUUCUAAGCAUAGUGCCGGUUUGGUUGAGAUUCCCUAGUUUACUAGUAAGGUAUUGGGCGACUCAGGUUUUAAGCAAAAUGGCAGUGUUGUAGGAAAAUCCCUAUACACUGAUAAGUUCACUGCUCACUAUGAGUAGAUAUCAUAUGCUAGGGUUCUUGUGGAGAUAGAUGCUGCAUAUCCUCUUCCAAACCAGCUAGAGAUAGAGUCACCUUUUGGCCCUAUGAUACAGAAUUGGAGACACUUUUUUUUAUAAUGAUUGUCUGAAAUUUGGACAUGAUUCCUCUGAAUGUUGGCACAACAAGUGCUGUGAUGAAGGGGAGGAUCACCAGGAAGGUGAAAGGCCAAGGAGGAAGAGAAGAAGAGCAAAGAAGCCAGCAAGGACUAUAAAGCAGGCAUGGCCGGUGAAGAAACCAGAAGUGAAUGCUGGUAAUGCUCCAGAGCCACAUAGUGAUGAUGCUCUGCAAACAAGCCCUUCUAAUCUGCCUGAAUGCACUGGUUUUGCUAGAAGGAAUAUGGACCCUGUAUCACAUGAUGCUCCUGUGCCUUGUCAUGGCAAAGAUGGGGAGACUAUACAGAGUGCCACACACUGUGAUCCUGUUAUCGAAAUGAUGCACUACAAUGACAAAGGGAAGGCAGCUGCUGAGCCAAGGCAUGCUGGGAGAAGAGGGCAACAGGUGGAUCCAGGUCCAACAUGCUCUCCAAUUCACAAGCCCCCAUGAUCAUCGCCACUUGGAAUACCAGGGGCCUGAACCAGGCCCAUAAGUAGAAGGAGGUAAAAAUCUUUCUGGCUAAAAAUAAGGUAGAUAUAAUGGGGUGUAUUGAAACCAGAGUUAAAGAACAUUAGGCUAAGAAAAUACAAAAAGAUUGCCCUGGAGUGGAAUGUUUGUUGUAACUAUUCUCUUGCUGCUAAUGGUAGGAUUUGGAUUCCGUCGAGAGCUCAUGCUCAUGUUCAGAUUUAGAUGAUUCAAACUACAGAUCAAUUCAUCCAUUAUCCAGUGGACGAUACCAGAACUUAGUUUACAACAUAUCUCAGCAUCAUAUAUGCCCAGAAUGAUCGCCAGCAAAGGGAGACUUUAUAGGGGGAUCUUAUGUGCAGGCUCAUAUCCCAUGGCUACUUAGUGGAGAUUUUAACAAUGUCCUAUCUUCUGAUGAUAGAAUAGGAUCCCCUGUAACACAGGGAUUCAAAGAUGUGAUUGACUUUCUGCAGCUUACCCCCCUUAGAGCUAAAGGGUGGCACUUUACUUGGACAACCAAACAAGGAACUGAUUCAAGAGUGUAUAGCAAGAUAGAUUGGGCUCUGGGAAAUUAUCAAUGGAUACAACGAUAUGGUCAAGUGGAGGCAGACUUUUUGAAGCCUUCAGUUUCUGAUCAUUCCCCUAUCCUAAUCAAAUGUGGUGGAUAGAAACUAUUACAUCCUAAGCCAUUUAGGCUAUACACAAAUGUCAUGGAUCUUCCACAAUUCCAGAGUAUUAUUCAGCAAGUGUGGCAACAAAAUCAUACUAGCACACCUAUGCAACAGGUCUGGUGCAAGCUGAAGGUUAUGAAGGUGCAACUGCAAGCUUCUAAUGCUUAUAUGGCUUCCUACAAGCAAAAACUUAAGCAGGCAAGAGAGAGAUUGGCUAUUGUCCAGGACCAGGUACAGCAAGAUCCUUUAGCCCAGAACCUGUUUGAUCUAGAAAAAGACACACUAGCUGACAUUGAGAAAUGGAGUAAUAUUGAGGAGCAAGUUCCGAGACAGAAAUCUAGGGCAUGUUGGAUUGAGUGUGGUGAUGCUAAUACUAAAUACUUCCAUGCCCAAUGGAACAUCAGAUCCAGCCAGAAUAGUAUAACCUCUAUAUAUACUGACACAUGGAUAAAGGUUACUGAUCCAAAACUGGUUGAGCAGGAGUUUAUUAGAGUCUUUAGAUCCUUGAUGGGUGAUUGUGCUACUGAACUGCCUUGUGCAAACACAACUAUAAUCAAGGAUGCACCAUGUUUAACUGUGCCACAACAGAGAGACUUGAUACACGAAGUAACUGAUGUGGAAAUCACUGCAGCAAUGUGGGACAUGCCCAGGGAUAAAGCACGAGAUGUUGAUGGGUUUCCUAUUGAAUUCUUCACUAGAAACUGGAACAUAGUGAAGGAGGACCUCUUUGCAGCUGUUAAGAACUUCUUUAAUACUUGUAGUCUACCUAGGAUGAUAAAUACUACAGCAAUCACUUUAGUACCUAAAGUCCCAACACACUUCAACAGUCAAGUACUAUAGGCCUAUUGCAUGCUGUGCUACCUUGUAUAAGGUCAUCCUUAAAGUCAUCGCUAGAAGAAUCAAGACUGUUCUUGAUGGUUUGAUUGGACAUUCCCAAGGUGUAUUAUUGAUGAUAUAUCUUACUUAGUCAUGAGCUGUUUAAAGGGUACUACAGAAAGGGUAUCUCACCUAGAUGUAUGUUGAAGGUAGACUUGAGGAAUGCUUAUGAUACUCUUGAAUGGGGAUUUCUCAGAAGAAUGCUUGUUGAUCUUGGUUUUCCCUUCAAGUUUGUGAAGUGGAUAAUGGCAUGUGUUAUUACAUUAUCGUACUCUUUGAUGCUUAAUGGAGGCCUAACCACACCUUUCAAAGGCAAAAGGGGAUUAGACAAGGAGAUCCAAUGUCUCCAUACUUAUUUGCCAUUGCAAUGGAGUACUUGGGAAGAUAAUUGGGCCAAUUACACAAGAAUGGGGACUUUAACUUUUAUCCUAGGUGCAGGAAGUUAAAUAGUACACAUAUUUCUUUUGCAGAUGAUCUCCUGAUGUACUGCAGAGCUGAUAUUGAAUCUAUAAGGAUCUUGAAUGUUGCUUUCCACAGAUUCUCCGUUGUUUCUGAACUGGAGGCAAAUGUGGAUAAGAGUGCUAUAUACAUGGCUGGAAUUUCAUCAUCCUUGAGGAUCACCUGCUGGUCGGCUAAGCUCUUAUUUAUGCUGGUAGAUGUCAACGGAUAAAGGCUGUCAUCUUUGGUAUUCAAACCUACUGGGCACAGAUAUUUGUAUUCCCAAAGAAGGUUACGAAGUUAACUGUGACAAUAUGUAAAACUUUCCUAUGGACCGGUGCUGCUUCUAUUUCUAAGGGAGCACUAGUGGCAUGGGAGAGGGUAUGCAAGCCAAUAGCUGCUGGAGGGCUCAAUGUACUGGGACAUCAAACUAUGGAAUAAAGCAGCAAUCAUAAAACACUUAUGAGAUAUAGCACGAAAGAAGGAUUGCCUAUUGGUAAUGUAGGUACAUAGCUUCUAUAUAAAAAACAAGGACUUAAAAACAAUGACUACACCAAAGACUGCAUCUUGGGUGGUGAGGAAAAUAUUAGAUGGCAGGAACUUGAUUAUGGAGCACCAACAACUUCAAGGAGGCAUCCACAACAGGCUACAAUCCAUGUCUACUAAUACAAAGUUCCAGAUAAAGCAGAUGUAUCUGAAGCUGAUACCAACAUAUCCCAGAGCUGAAUGGAAGAGUUUGAUGCUGCACACAAGCAUCCAUCUCAGAUAUAAAUUCAUUCUAUCGCUUGCAGCACAACAUAGACUAGCCACAGUGGAAAGACUGGUGAAGAUUGGCAUCCAAAUUCCUACCGCCUGUGCAUUCUAUGGACAUAGCCUGAAAUCAUUUAGCCACAUUACAAAGCAAUUGUGGUCCAGGUUAUGUUCGUGGUUGGGGUAUAAUAAGAGAAUUGGUGAUUGGAACACAGAAUUGGAAUGAGCAUGCAAAAAAGCCAAGAGCAGGAGCAAGUGCUAUUACCAGCUGUGUGUUUGCCAUGAUUGUUGCAUUGAUUUGGAGAGAGAGGAACAAGAUUAGAUUUGAACAAGCUGGAUUUGAUGCUUCUAAAAUCUGCAGGGAGAUAGUACUGCACCUGCACACCAGAGGAAAGGACAUAGCCAAGUGGAAAAGAGCACUGCAACAGUUGAACUGGUUUCCAUGGAUAGUUAGCUGAUACAAUGACCACUAGGAGAUCCUUGAUGUAAGAACUGAAAUGCUAUUUGUGUCAAUCUGGGAAUGAUUAUAGGAUAGAUAGACAUUGGAAUUGAUAGAAGAAGAGUGUGAUAUAUAUUUGGAGUAGCCCGUCAAAGCUAUUCCUCGGACUUCAUUGUACAUGUUUUUUGGUAUCAAUAGAAUAUAAUGUUUAUUUAAAACAAAAAAAAAACAAAUUUACCCCAGAACUAAAAGACUUUUAACAGUACGCACCUCACAAAACUGCCUUUAAGCUAAACUGAGAGGCAAUUGUUUUGUUGUGAAUUAUUUUCUUGGAGUUUAGUUUUAACUCAGGACACAUAAUCACAAUUUUUUAUGAAAAAAGUUUGUCAAUUCACAUUUAUGAUUGUAUUUGCGCAAUAAAAUUGGAAAUGGGGUAGUGAUGUUGCUUAGUUUUUGUUAUCGCUUUCUGUUUCACCCCACCCCUUGAAAAAGUUAUCAUUUGAAGAAUAUAGCGGACAUUUCAAUCUCAUCACCCAUAUAUAACUGUCGAGUUCAGGACACAUUUUCCUUUUCCAGCUGUCAAACUAAUUGGUGAAACUAGUAAUGGGAAGUCAUAGUAUGACUAAUCGAUGGCAGUCUUGAUUUCGCACAUUAUAUAAUUUUAUUCACAUCUAGCGCAUUGCUAAUAGUGUCAUGAUCUAUUGAUUUUCU